UUGAUAUAAUCAUUUAUUUCAGAAAUUCUGACAUUGAUAAAGAUGUAGUAUAUUUAAUUCAACUGCUAAUUAUAUUAGAUACUUUUCAUAUUCACAAAUGCAAAUGGUCUAAAUCAAAACCGAACUUUUUUCCCUCCCAUUUUAUAAAAUAAUUUAAACAAUAUGGCACUACUUUAACUAAAAUGAAAAACAAAUAGCCAAUUCAAACUUGUUGUAUUAAUAAUGAAUAUGAUUUGUUUGUUUGGGAUUCCUGGCAAUGUUAAUAGUUUGUAUGUAUGCUUGUUUUUGCAUUUUUGUUGAUAUUUGUUCAUAAAAAAAUGAAUAAUAAAAAAAUUAAAAAAUUCAGCAAAUUGCGCAGGUGUUCAUCAUCCUCAUCUUCAUCAUCAUCAUUAACACCUUGAAUAAUACAUACUAUAUGUCUUGUCUGAUACUUUUUAAAGGGAGAAAUAAGAAAUACUUCUGAUAUCUAAAAAAAACAACAUUUAUUUCAUUAUAUGAGCAGAACUUCUGUACACAUUACUAUUAAUAUAAUGGUUAACAUUUACUGAAGAUGACAUACAACAUAACUGUAAAUAACUGGAAGGUUUUUACAAAGACAUCCCCCGUUCUGGAACUCUCCCCAUAUACAGAGUCCAGAGUCCAGAGUCCGGAAGCCCAAAGAGAGAGUGGGCAAUCGGACUAAGGAAGGUGGGUACCAGGCUGAAAAGUACCACCGGCAUCUGGUAACCCAAAGGCCCAAGAGAGAGUGGGCAACCCAGAGUCCGGUAGCCCAAAGAGAGAGUGGGCAAUCGGACUAAGGAAGGUGGGUACCAGGCUGAAAAGUACCACCAGCACCUGGUAACCCAAAGGCCCAAAGAGAGAGUGGGCAAUCGGACUAAGGAAGCUGGAAAUCUCCCCAAUAUACAGAAAUCACGGAUUGCUCAGGGAAUUAAAGAUAAAUAUUUACACUGUCUUCUGAAGAAACACAUACUUAGUUUAAAAUUAAAGCUCUGUAAUUCAGAUAUUUACUUAUUAGUAAUUGUAGAAAAUAUAAACAAUAAAAAGCUAUUAAAAAGUAAUCAAUAUUAUGAAUAAAAACUCUGAACAAUUAAGUAUUAUUCCAUUUAUAGCCUAAACAAAAAGCACAAAAAAAAUCUGACUUGGCCAAGUGCACACAUGAGUGUACAGCUAAGCUUGUACCACCCUAAGAGGUCGAAUACUGACAUAGGAGAAUAUAAUAAAAAUAUUAAUUAAACAUUGAAUUAUUACCAAAAAAAAGAGUUACCUUUUUUCUUCUUCACUGUACAACGAAUAUAAAACAUACAAAACAUUUGCUGGUUAAAAUGCAUUUGUCAGUAACAAGUUAUAAGUUUAGGCACAGGUCAAAUUCCAACAGGAGGUUCAGGAAAUGUCCCUAUCGUGACUAUUGAGCUGCUGUAACUCUUUUUCUGUCUCUUGGUCUCAUAGCUUAGCUUACUUUACAGUCUCGUAGCUUACUUUACAGAGAAACAAUUGAAUGUCCUUGGAUGGACUUGGAUGGUCUUGGAUGGUCUUGGAUGGUCUUGGAUGGUCUUGGAUGUCAUUGGAUGGUCUUGGAUGGUCUUGGAUGGUCUUGGAUGUCCUUGGAUGGUCUUGGAUGGUCUUGGAGGGUCGGAUGGUCUUGGAUGGUCUUGGAUGUCCUUCAAUGGUCUUGGAUGGUCAUGGAUGGUCUUGGAUGGUCUUGGAUGGUUUUGGAUGGUCUUGGAUGGUCUUGGAUGGUCUUGGAUGGCCUUCGAUGGUCUUGGAUGGUAUUGCAUGUCCUUGGAUGGUCUUGGAUGGUUUUGGAUGGUCUUGGAUGGUCUUGGAUGGCCUUCGAUGGUCUUGGAUGGUCUUGGAUGGUCUUGGAUGGCCUUGGAUGGUCUUGGAUGGAUGGUCUUGGAUGGACUUGGAUGGUCUUUAACCGUCUCAGGAUGAUCCUCCUCCACACUUCAUAUGUAGAAAGAAAGAAUAGAUUAUUUAACUUGGAUCGACAGCAGAUCAACACAUGCUACCAAAGAAGAAGAAGAAGAAGAAGAAGUCCUGAGAGAUGUCAGCACCACAGAUGAGCCAUGGAGAAAACAGAGCAGGUGCACCCUCACUAUUAAAAUAAGGAGGUGGCAAACUUGUGUUUUUGCAUCUCUUUUUUUUGGUACCAGAAAAUUAUAAUAAUAAUUAUAAUUAGGUCAUUUGUCAAUACAUUUUUUUUUUAAAGUAUAGUCUGUAUUAAAAAUAGAUAUAUCUGACCAUUUUAUAAAAUAUAUAAUAAUUACCAUCUGAGCAUGCUUGUCCA
ensembl:lncRNA